rnacentral:rRNA from 1 species
AUGGACAACCCCCUCCCGCAGCCGCGCAGGCGCAGGCCCGUCGUCCUGAUCGCCUCCUGCGCGCUGAUCCUCCUCGCCACCGCCCUCCUCCCGCGCGCUCCCGCCGUCCCGCCGCUGACCCCGGCCAUCCGCCUCGACCCGCGGGUCGCACGCAGGAGCGGCAACGAGGUGCUGUGGCAGCUGCCGCCAGGCCCGCCGCGCGCCGCCGUGUUCGUCUCCCCCGGAUGCACCAUCCGCGCCACCGACUUCUUCGACGCCUCCCCCGGCUGCCCGCGCUGCGCGGGGCUCCCCGAGGAGCGCCGGUUCACGCGCGAGGCGCUCCGCCGAGGCUACGCCGUCCUCGCUGUGUCCAGCCGCGCCGAGUGCUGGUCCCUCGACGCCGCCUCCGGCGACGGCAGUGAGCUCGCCGCCGUCGGUUCCAUCAUCGAAUGGUGGGUCAAGGAGCAGCACCCCGAGCUCGGCCGCCUCCCGCUCGUCGGCAUCGGCGCGUCGUCGGGCGGGUACUUCGUCUCCGCGCUGGCGGCGAGGGUCAGGUUCAGCAGCGUGGCCAUCAUGAUCGCCGAGGGCGUGUUUGCCGCCAUGGAGGAAAUCCCGCCCGGCUACCCGCCGGCGCUGUUCGUGCACAUGCCCAGGGACGCCAAGAGGGCGCACAUGGUGGCGUCAAGCAUAGACAAGCUCAAGUCAAAGCACGUUGAUGUACGGGAGAUCCAGUGCGAUGCCUUUGCCGUGAGUGCCGACUUCUUGGCGGCGAGGAUCCCGGGGUUGACUCCGACCGUCGCCGAUGGCCUUGUGGACGUGCUUCGCCAGAAGUCGUUCUUGGAUGAGAAGGGUUUUCUGAAGAAGGAUGGGAGGAGAACACCGUGGCAGGAGGCGGCGGAGGAAGCCAAGAUCUUGCCGGAGGGGUUCCGGCUGGAGAGGCAUGUCACGGAGGAGUUGAAUAUUGCAUAUGCAUACCAUGAAUUUACCAGCCUGGAGAAUGAAGAGAUCUUCAAAUGGUUCGAUUCCCAUAUGGAUCACAAGAUUUGA